rfam:Hordeum vulgare subsp. vulgare, WGS project CAJW01000000 data, contig: morex_contig_51823
CAUGUACCCCCUUCGUUCGGAAAUACUUGUUCUAAAAGUAGAUGUAUCUAAAUUUAUUUUGAUUAUAGAUAUAUUCAUUUCGUACAUUUCUAGAACAAGUAUUUCCGGACGAAGGGAGUAUGUA